CCGACGGGUGAGUAACACGUAUGCAAUCCACCUCGUAACAGGGGAGUAACCGGAGAAAUACCGACUAAUACCCACUAAUAUGGGCGCUCCGCAUGGAGAGUCCAUUAAAGAGAGCAAUCUUGGUUACAGACGAGCAUGCGCUCCAUUAGCCAGUUGGCGGGGUAACGGCCCACCAAGGCGACGAUGGAUAGGGGUUCUGAGAGGAAGGUCCCCCACAUUGGAACUGAGACACGGUCCAA
rnacentral:rRNA from 1 species